UUUUGGGAUAUUUUGUAUUCUUUUGCAUUAUUAUAACACACACACUCUUUCUCUCCUAUCACUUUCCCUCUUUCUCUCUAUCUAUUCCCUCUCCCCAAGCUCUCUCUGUGCAACUCUCCCACUCCUCUCUGGAACUCACGCACACCACAAACCACCACCAUCACCACCUGGACGUGCAACCUCGAAAACCUCAGGCAAGGUUGGUGCUCCAUCGUGAUAGUCUCGGUGCACCAUCCUCCGACGAACUCCGACGUGUUUCAUAAAUUUCCCGAUGUUGAUCGAGGGACUUAAGCACACCUUUGUGUUCGUGAAGCUCAGACGAAUCGAUUGGUACCAUUUAUAGGGAAUUUGAAGCUUAUAGGAAGCUUAAAGAGGUCCUCACGAGUCUCGGGGUAUUUCGUUGGAAGGAAAUGGAUGUCGAAGGGCUGAGAUCGACGUGUAUCUAGGUUUUAGGUAAGCUUGUUGUCGGUGGCCCUGAGGAUUUCGGCGGUUCUAACAUAUCUAAAUAAUAGUAGGACAUUCCUAGUACUGUAUAACUAGUACUUGUCCUACUGAACUGCACCUAGACUUAUUAUGCUCUGAUUAGGAGAAUUUACUUUUGUAAUUGACUCCUAACACUUCCUGUUUUCUAGUGCACUCUAGUAGUUUCGGUUUUUAAAUAUUCGUAUAUUUCUUAUCUUAAUUGCUUCCGCAAUGUGCACAUGACUACAUCAUCCUCACGUGACGCCCAACAUGCCUUGAUCUCAGUCGGGGUGUGUCAGAAUUGCUAUCGCCUACGGCCUAGUGAAUUCCUCCUCACUUAAAAUUGUGAGGACCUAAAUUUGAUUUUGUGAAAGAAGAGUUCGAUAUCAAUUUAUUAUGGAUUACCGGCUGCCAUGAGGCCUAACAUGAAUUCUUAAGCCCGUGGUGUAUAUAUUG